AUUGAACGCUGGCGGCAGGCCUAACACAUGCAAGUCGAGCGGAUGAAGGGAGCUUGCUCAUGGAUUCAGCGGCGGACGGGUGAGUAAUGCCUAGGAAUCUGCCUGGUAGUGGGUGAUAACGUCCGGAAACGGGCGCUAAUACCGCAUACGUCCUGAGGGAGAAAGUGGGGGAUCUUCGGACCUCACGCUAUCAGAUGAGCCUAGGUCGGAUUAGCUAGUUGGUGGGGUAAAGGCCUACCAAGGCGACGAUCCGUAACUGGUCUGAGAGGAUGAUCAGUCACACUGGAACUGAGACACGGUCCAGACUCCUACGGGAGGCAGCAGUGGGGAAUAUUGGACAAUGGGCGAAAGCCUGAUCCAGCCAUGCCGCGUGUGUGAAGAAGGUCUUCGGAUUGUAAAGCACUUUAAGUUGGGAGGAAGGGCAGUAAGUUAAUACCUUGCUGUUUUGACGUUACCAACAGAAUAAGCACCGGCUAACUUCGUG
rnacentral:rRNA from 1 species